CGGGGAGUGGCGCAGCUUGGUAGCGCGCGUCGUUCGGGACGACGAGGUCGCAGGUUCGAAUCCUGUCUCCCCGACCC
rnacentral:tRNA from 1 species